rnacentral:tRNA from 1 species
AUUGUUUUAGCAAAUUAAGUGCAUUAAAUUUAGAAUUUAAAAAUGUAAAUUUUAAUUUUACAAACAAUA